UAACGGUCGGGGCGCACCUGUCGUGGACUCUGAGGUCCGGCCAAGCGUCACAGCUCUGCAGUCGCUGCUCCUGCCGCGGUGGCUUCGGGAUUCCCUCAAACGCGGAGACGGCGUCUUCUUGGCCAGCCAGCGGAGGUGACCGGCCAUCCCGACGCGCCUGCGACGGGGCCUCGCGACCUGGCCUCGGCUCUAGCCCGGUCAGUGAACUCGGACGGUUGGUUUUUGGAGGUGCAGAAAUGGUGGCUCCUGACCACACGUGGGGAUUGGAGUUGCUCUCAAGCCCACCUGGACUAACUGACCGGAGCCGGCUCUCACCAGGGCUCCAAGGAUACGCGUGUGUGGGAGGCCCUUGCUGUGGCCGCGCUGGCUCCUGGUGACCUGCCUGCUCGCAGGGUGCUGUAAGCUGCUGCCCACCGCCGGCCAGCACCCCGGGGACCCCCAGGAGUGGAAGCUGGAGGGGCCGUGGCGGGACAUCCUGUAGGCCUGUGCGCUCCUGGGCGGGAAGACCCAGGCUCUGGGAUUCACCUUGAAGCAGCGUGACGAGGUGCCGUCAUUUCAGGUGGCGUUUUUAAAUGGAGAGUUGGGAUCUCUCAUUCUGUCCACUUGGGACAAGGCGUCAGCGUUCAGGAACGAAUGGUCAGCACUGAGUAUGGUGAGAGUCCAGGCGGGAAUGGGGUGCGGAUGUCGAGGGCCCCGACCUGAGCAGAUCAUCCGAACAGAGACCCCAGCCUCAACCAUGGUCCACAGAUGCUGGUGCCACAUGGACCCCUACUUGGAAGGAGAGGACUGCAGCAAUGGCCCCAAAGUCAGAACCAGACAGGCCCCACCAUGGCCGCGUGCGACCAGACCUGCAUAGCAGCUUGGCCAGCUGCCCGCAGAUGGACAUGAAUGCAGUGCAGGCACAGCCAGUGAGUUCACCUCUGCCCCUGGGGCCUCCAGGAGCUACAGGCCAAGCCACAGCUACCUCCCACUCUGCACAUCCCAGGUCCAGAGCAGGACUAGUGCCAGGUACCUCCAACUGCACAGGGCUGCUUCCUGUGCCAUCCCAUCUCAUCCCACCUCCCCUCCCCAGAUGCCCACACCACCUCUCUUCCUCCCACCCCUCC